UUCCGGUUGAUCCUGCCGGAGGCUACCGCUAUUGGAGUUCGAUUAAGCCAUGCGAGUCGCGAGUCUUAGGGACUCGGCGUACCGCUCAGUAACACGUGGGUAACCUGCCCUAUGCUGGGGGAUAACCUCGGGAAACUGAGAAUAAUACCCCAUAGUUCACCACGCCUGGAACGGUGGGUGGAUCAAAGCUCCGGCGGCAUAGGAUGGGCCUGCGGCGUAUCAGGUUGUAGGGGGUGUAAUGUACCCUCUAGCCCUCUACGCGUACGGGUGUUGAGAGACAUCGCCCGGAGAUGGAUUCUGAGACACGAAUCCAGACCCCACGGGGUGCAGCAGGCGCGAAAACUUGGCAAUGCGAGAAAUCGUGACCAGGGAACUCCAAGUGCAUCGGGUAAGACCGAUGCUUUUCUUGACUCUUCAAAGGUCUUGGAAUAAGGGGUGGGUAAGGACGGUGCCAGCCGCCGCGGUAAUACCGGCGCCCCAAGUGGUAGUCGCUUUUAUUGGGCCUAAAACGUCCGUAGCCGGUCUGGUACAUUCGUGGGUAAAUCAACCAGCUCAACUGGUUGAAUUCUGCGAGCACGGCCAGACUUGGGACCGGGAGAGGUGUGGGGUACUCUCAGGGUAGGGGUAAAAUCCUGUCAUCCUGAGAGGACCACCUGUUGCGAAGGCGCCACACUAGAACGGAUCCGACGGUCAGGGACGAAGCCUAGGGGCACGAACCGGAUUAGAUACCCGGGUAGUCCUAGGUGUAAACGCUGUGGACUUGAUGUUGGGGGCGCUCCGAGCGCACUCAGUGUCGAAGCGAAGGUGAUAAGUCCACUGCCUGGGGAGUACGGUCGCAAGGCUGAAACUUAAAGGAAUUGGCGGGGGAGCACCGCAACCUGAGGAUUGUGCGGUUUAAUUGGAUUCAACGCCGG
rnacentral:rRNA from 1 species